UCCAUCGCCACCCACCCACGACCCCCUCACCCUGGCUAGGGUUCCUAGCCCCUCCUCCUCAGCCGCGCUGCAUGUUCCUCGCUGGCCUCGCCCGAGCGCCUUCCGGACCUCGCCGGGAGAAGUCAGCCAGCGCCGUUCCGAUCUCGCCGGGAGAAGCCAGCAGGACCCCGCCGCCAUGCCUCCCUCUCCCCCUUCUCCUCUUUUCCGCUACCUAUCUCUUUCCUCUGAACCUGAUUGGGGCACUGCGACUGGCCUCCACUCCAGAUCCGUCCGCCUUUGAUCCCGUAUCCUCCCUCCCGACGGGGUCUGUCCUCGACCACUGCGCACGGGUGCGACGGGAUCCACCACUCUAGCGAGCAGGAGUAGCACGGUGGCUGUGGUCUGCUCAGACCCCCGAUCAACGACGUGAGGCAUGCGGCGGUCUGCAGCAAGGAUAUCCUUCAAUGGCUGGACUCACUCUUCAUCUAAAUCAUGUCUCUAAACAUGCUGCCGUUAAGGUUGGCGCUACAUAAAUUAUGCCUUCACGGCUGGACAUAACUGCUACAUGGUCUUCUCACUUGAGAUGUCAUAUAUAACGUGUCCUUUCUAUGUGAAUGUUCAACUAGGAGCAGUUUCAUCUCGAGCACUGCAAUCAUGCAUGCUACUCUCAUCGACUACUAACCACUUGCUACUAACAUAAAUCAUGCCUCCAACGCUGGACAUCACUACUAAAGAGGUACUGUGGGUGAGUAUCACUGUUUAGUUUUUUUAUACUCUAUAGAUUUAUUUAUAUGGACAGUACAGAUUCAUCUAUUACUUCGACUAAGGUGACUGUAGCAACAUUCACUCCAUUCAAUUUUUUUUGCGGAAACUACAAUAUUCAUUUUGUUCACCUGAACAUUGAAUUAAGGAAGGCAGAAGGUUCAGGGCUUAUGCAAAUUAUUGAAAUUUAAUAUUUGUGGACAAUGGAGAAACACAUGCGGCAGUGUUGAAUUUACACCCGUUGUUGCACCUGCAGCUUUUCGGCAUCCUUAGCAUAAUAAGCCCAAACACGAAGAUUAUACGCCGCCUUGGAUUUGUGUGGCUGUUAACUUGUUGUCAUCAAACACUUUUUUUCCUUAAUAUGUGCAGCUUUUUUGGGGCGUCCAUGGAUGCAAAGGAAUCCCAUAAGUACAAUGUACACUGACAUCAUCUUCAUCAAAUUCUUCAAGCUCAGCAAGUGUGAGGUAACUAAUGCAUGUGUAUUAUCUAUUUCAUCGAAGUGUAAGAUUUCUCCUCUUCUCUUGUUUGUGUUCAAUGGUUGUUGUGGUUUUUUGUUUUGCGUUUCAAUAGUGACAUGUAUCCUGAUUAGGCACUUGCAUAGGUACUGUGUAGAGCUGGAACUUCUAAUAAAAAAUGACCUAUGCAGUAAAGCAAAGGAGAGAGACUACAACCUUUUUAGGCCUGAAUCUAUCCCCAUUCUGAAUCUACUUGGUUAUUGAUUCUCAUUUUCAGCAUAUGAAGACCACAUGCUAUUUUUUCUAUGCUCUCCUCUUCGGCUCUUCCUUUAUGAUUCAACAUAUGCUAACUGCUACUUUAGCUUUCAUGCUUAUAUCCUUGGUUAUAUUUUACAGCGAUCCAAAUUAAGGAUUUUUGUUGAUAUCCCAAGUUCCUAAUGACGAUUGGUCCUUAUUAGUUUCUUUAAAGGAAGCACAACAAGUGGUUGUACUAGGAAGAUUACCUUCACAUGGGAGUUUCUUUUUUCUAACGAACAGGGGAGUCUUUAUUAUUUCACUUGAAAAGAUGAUGUACGCAUUUAAAGUGUAGAAUUUCCAUUUGUAUAUUCAUAUUGUGCUUAACUUUUACUUUCUAAAAAUCAAUAUUGGCUGGUGGUUUGGCCAAUUAUUUAAUAAAUAAAAA